AUUGAACGCUGGCGGCGUGCCUAACACAUGCAAGUCGAGCGGUAACAGGUGUAGCAAUACAUGCUGACGAGCGGCGGACGGGUGAGUAACGCUUGGGAAUCUGCCUAUUAGUGGGGGACAACCCGGGGAAACUCGGGCUAAUACCGCAUACGCUCUACGGAGGAAAGCCGGGGACCGCAAGGCCUGGCGCUAAUAGAUGAGCCCAAGUCGGAUUAGCUAGUUGGUAGGGUAAGGCCUACCAAGGCGACGAUCCGUAACUGGUCUGAGAGGACGACCAGUCACACCGGAACUGAGACACGGUCCGGACUCCUACGGGAGGCAGCAGUGGGGAAUAUUGGACAAUGGGCGAAAGCCUGAUCCAGCGACGCCGCGUGGGUGAAGAAGGCCUGCGGGUUGU
rnacentral:rRNA from 1 species